rnacentral:rRNA from 13 species
GACGGAAAGACCCCGUGAACCUUUACUAUAGCUUCACAGUGGACUUUGAACCUGUUUGUGUAGGAUAGCUGGGAGACUUUGAAGCAGUGACGCUAGUCAUUGUGGAGUCGUCCUUGAAAUACCAGCCUGGCAUGUUUGAGGUUCUAACCUGGGUCCCUUAUCGGGAUCGGGGACAUUGUGUGGUGGGUAGUUUGACUGGGGUGGUCGCCUCCAAAAGAGUAACGGAGGCUUCUAAAGGUUUCCUCAGCACGCUUGGUAACCGUGCGUAGAGUGCAAUAGCAUAAGGAAGCUUGACUGUGAGACUGACAAGUCGAGCAGGGACG